rnacentral:tRNA from 1 species
UAGGUAGCUCAGUUGGUUAGAGCAAAGGACUGAAAAUCCUUGUGUCAGUGGUUCGA